AAAUUUUGUUUGGGCUUACAACUUGAACAUCUUCCUUCAAGAAUACUUGUUCAUCAGUCUGCUUAUAUCCAAAAGAUUCUUGAGAAAUUUAAUAUGGAUAAAGCAUAUCCAUCAAAAAUACCGAUGGUUGUUAGAUCUCUUGAUAGAGAUAAAGACCCAUUUAGACCUAAGGGUGAUGCUGAAGAGGUAUUAGGGCCUGAGUUUCCUUACCUCAGUGCUAUUGGGGCACUAAUGUAUCUAGCAAACUGCACCCGGCCUGAUAUAUCAUUUGCAGUAAAUUUAUUGGCUAGAUUCAGUGCAUCACCAACAAAGAGGCAUUGGGUUGGUGUGAAGAACAUUUUUAGAUAUCUUCAAGGCACCAAAGAU
rnacentral:rRNA from 1 species